rnacentral:rRNA from 1 species
AGAAAAUAGAUACCUGGUAGUCCACGCUGUAAACGAUGGGUACUAGGUUUGGUGGGUCUUGACCCCCGCCGAAACCGGCGCUAAACGCACUAAAGUACCCCGCCUGGGAAGUACGGUCGCAAGACUAAAACUCAAAGGAAUUGACGGGGGCCCGCACAAGCGGUGGAUCAUGUGGUUUAAUUCGAAGCAACGCGAAAAACCUUACCUGGGUUUGACAUCCCCGGACCGCUGUAGAAAUACAGUUUCAGUAGCAAUACUGCCGGGUGACAGGUGCUGCAUGGCUGUCGUCAGCUCGUGUGGUGAUAUGUUGGGUUAAGUCCCGCAACGAGCGCAACCCUUAUCUUUAGUUGCCAGCAUUUAGUUGGGCUCUCUAGAGAGACUGCCGUGGUUAACACGGAGGAAGGUGGGGAUGACGUCAAGUCCUCAUGGCCUUUAUAUCCAGGGCGACACACGUGAUACAAUGGACGGUACGGAGGGAAGCCAACCCGCGAGGGGGAGCUAAUCUCAAAAACGCCGUUCUCAGUUCGGAUUGGAGUCUGCAACUCGACUCCAUGAAGUUGGAAUC